rnacentral:rRNA from 1 species
GAUGAACGCUGGCGGCGUGCCUAAUACAUGCAAGUCGAGCGAACAGACGAGGAGCUUGCUCCUCUGACGUUAGCGGCGGACGGGUGAGUAACACGUGGAUAACCUACCUAUAAGACUGGGAUAACUUCGGGAAACCGGAGCUAAUACCGGAUAAUAUAUUGAACCGCAUGGUUCAAUAGUGAAAGACGGUUUUGCUGUCACUUAUAGAUGGAUCCGCGCCGCAUUAGCUAGUUGGUAAGGUAACGGCUUACCAAGGCAACGAUGCGUAGCCGACCUGAGAGGGGGAGGGGCCAAAGGGGAAGGAGAAAAGGGACCAAAUCACUAGGGAGGGAAGAAGAGGGAAAUUUUACGAAGGGGGCAAAAACAUAAGGGAACAACGCCGGGGGGGGAAGGAGGGUUUUGGGAUGGAAAAACUUGUUUAGAGGGAAAAAAAAAGUGGGAAAGAAAAUAGGAAGGUUUUGAGGGACAAUAAUAAGAAACCAAGGGAAAACAAGGG